rnacentral:rRNA from 1 species
GACGAACGCUGGCGGCGCGCUUAACACAUGCAAGUCGAACGGAAAGGCCUGCUUUCCCUUGUGGAUUGCGGGUACUCGAGUGGCGGACGGGUGAGUAACACGUGAGUGAUCUGCCCCCAACUUGGGUAUAAGCCUGGGAAACUGGGUCUAAUUCCCGAUAGGACUGCAGGGUGGUGCCUGUGGUGGAAAACGAUUUUCUAGUGGUUGGGGAUGAGCUCGCGGCCUAUCAGCUUGUUGGUGGGGUAAUGGCCUACCAAGGCGGCGACGGGUAGCCGGCCUGAGAGGGUGGACGGCCACAUUGGGACUGAGAUACGGCCCAGACUCCUACGGGAGGCAGCAGUGGGGAAUAUUGCACAAUGGGCGGAAGCCUGAUGCAGCGACGCCGCGUGGGGGAUGACGGCCUUCGGGUUGUAAACUCCUUUCGACCGCGAGGAAGCCACCUGGUUGGAAGGGUGGUGACGGUAGUGGUAGAAGAAGCACCGGCUAACUACGUG